rnacentral:rRNA from 1 species
GUGGGGAAUCUUGCGCAAUGGGCGAAAGCCUGACGCAGCCAUGCCGCGUGGAUGAUGAAGGUCUUAGGAUUGUAAAAUCCUUUCACCGGUGAAGAUAAUGACUGUAGCCGGAGAAGAAGCCCCGGCUAACUUCGUGCCAGCAGCCGCGGUAAUACGAAGGGGGCUAGCGUUGCUCGGAAUUACUGGGCGUAAAGGGAGCGUAGGCGGACAUUUAAGUCAGGGGUGAAAUCCCAGAGCUCAACUCUGGAACUGCCUUUGAUACUGGGUGUCUUGAGUGUGAUAGAGGUAUGUGGAACUCCGAGUGUAGAGGUGAAAUUCGUAGAUAUUCGGAAGAACACCAGUGGCGAAGGCGACAUACUGGAUCAUUACUGACGCUGAGGCUCGAAAGCGUGGGGAGCAAACAGGAUUAGAAACCCUAGUAGUCC